rnacentral:rRNA from 1 species
GACGAACGCUGGCGGCGUGCCUAAUACAUGCAAGUCGAACGAACCGCGACUAGGUGCUUGCACUUGGUCAAGGUGAGUGGCGAACGGGUGAGUAACACGUGGGUAACCUACCUCAUAGUGGGGGAUAACAGUCGGAAACGACUGCUAAUACCGCAUAGGACAUAGGAUCACAUGAUCCAGUGAGGAAAGGUGGCGCAAGCUAUCGCUAAGAGAUGGACCCGCGGUGCAUUAGCUAGUUGGUAGGGUAAAGGCCUACCAAGGCGAUGAUGCAUAGCCGACCUGAGAGGGUGAUCGGCCACAUUGGGACUGAGACACGGCCCAAACUCCUACGGGAGGCAGCAGUAGGGAAUCUUCCGCAAUGGACGCAAGUCUGACGGAGCAACGCCGCGUGAGUGAAGAAGGUCUUCGGAUCGUAAAGCUCUGUUGUCAGAGAAGAACAGCGCAUAGAGUAACUGUUAUGCGUGUGACGGUAGCUAACCAGAAAGCCACGGCUAACUACGUG